rnacentral:rRNA from 1 species
GAUGAACGCUAGCUACAGGCUUAACACAUGCAAGUCGAGGGACCGGCGCAUGAGGGAGUAACAGGAAUCCAACCUGCCCUUGACUCAGGGACAGCCUUUCGACAGAUAGUAUAACACCCUAUAUUAAGGCUGGGGAUGCGUUCCAGUAGGUUGUUGGUGAGGCAACGGCUAGCCAAGACUUCGAUGGAUAGGGGUUCUGAGAGGAAGGUACCGCGCAUUGGAAAUGAGACACGGUCCAAACUGGUACGGGAGGCAGCAGUGAGGAAGAUUGGUCAAGGGGCGGUAGCGUGAAUCAGCCAAGGAGCGUGAAGGAUGAAGGCGUAUGGGUCGUAGUCUUCUUUUAUAUAAGGAUAGGUAUUAUAUGAAUAAGCAUCGGCUAACUCCGUGCCAGCAGCCGCGGUAAUUC